UACAAAGUAAAUGACUUUGUAACUUUAUUUUAUUCUCUUCAUUUACAUAGAUUGUACAACAAAUAAUGAAUGGAAAACUCUAAAGGGUAUUUAAACCCCAGAAAACGGAUUAAUGAAGCCACUGCUUAGUUAAAGACCAUCAAGCUUCAGAUGAUCAUGCAACAAGUGUUCCAGCCAGUUCCGGGUGAAGUCACCACCUGUGGCCAUCAAGGAACUACCCUGACUCCACUAGACAGGGCAGGGCAAGAGUUUCAUGAUCCCCAAUAGGAAACCGUUGGAGAAACUGGUUACCUUACCAAGGCUUUGGCUGGGAUGGUCAACAAACUUGACUGGAAAUAAACUUGACUUACAGAGACAAGAAAAACCCCUUGGGAAAACUACCCUCAUACCUUGUCUACACAGUCCCUGUACAGGGUUCCUGACCUGUGCUGUGUUUUCUUGAAGCCCUGCAAACUGAAGCUAGACAACUUAAACUUCAGAAGAAAUAACAGCAACCUAUUUACAUAUAUAAGCUACUUUCAUACCUGACUGGUGAUGUAUGGACAUCAGAGUAAUAUGGCCUAUAUCAGUUUUUCAUGAUUGUUGGUUUUUUAUUGUUGUUUUUUCUCCCUACCUCUUCUUAUUUUCUCUUCCUAGGACGUGAGACUUCACAACCUGCUAAAAAUGAGCUUCCCUAAUAAUAUGGGACCUACCUGUCUAGGAACAAACCAUCCUAGCCAUUAAAGAUUAGAUGAAACCUGAGACCAGAGAUUCAUUUUCUUCUAAAAUACUUUCUCCGAAAGAGUCUUAAAAAGACAAGGGGAGAAAUGUAAAAGGAAAAUAAAUCUUGGGACCCCCAACUCACUGAGCCAAAGGGAAAAGUCAAGCUGGGAACUGCUUAGGGCAAACCUGCCUCACAUUCUAUUCCAAGUAAUCCCUCUGCUCACUGAGGGAAGUGCAUAUCUGAUUGCCUCCUUUGGAAAGGCUAAUUAGAAACUCAAAAGUGUGCAGCUGGUUGUCUCUUAUCUUCCUAUGAUCUGAAAGUCCCCUCCCUAGUUCAAGUUGUCUCACCUUUGCUUCCAGUUGUCCCACCAUUUUGGACUGAACCAGUGUUCAUCUUUCAUAUAUUGUUUGAUCUCUCAUGUCUUCCUAAAAUGUAUAAAACCAAGCUGUGUCCCAACCACCUUGAGCAUAUGUUAUCAGGACCUCCAGAGUCUUUGUCACAGGCACAUGUCCUUAACCUUGGCAAAAUAAACUUUCUCCGUUGACUGGGAGCUGUCUCAGAUAUUUGGAGUUCACAAUACAAAUCAAAAUUUUAAGAUUUAUUUUCUAGCAAAUGGAUUUAUUAUUUCAAUCAAGUUUCUAACUUACACAAAAACCUCAAGAAGACCAAGGAGCUAAAAAGUGACUAUGUGUCAAUAGUCUACUUUCCUUAGUUUUUUAUGCUAUGCCCCUAAACUUAAAUGUCUAUAACAUCACCUAUAUUUGUUGAUAACAGGAUGCAAUUACACUGAGUUAUGACUCAUAUCAACUUUUCUUAUAUAUAGUUCUCAUGUCCACACACUAAACACUUUGAAAGGCUUUCUUUAGUUUUGCUGUGAAGUGGCUUGGUUUCAUGCUAUGACUGGAAGGAAAUGAGAGCAGGAUAUUAUUUGCCCCUUGGGCUCCUACAAUUCAUUGUUUUCUCUUGCUUCUCAUUCCACACAGUUUUUAAAGCUGUAGUUUGCAACUUUGGUGUACCCAGGAAUCACACAGGAGGUUUCUUAGAAUUGGAAAUUUCUGAGCUCCACUUUCAGAUAAUUUGACUCAUUAGGCCUGGGGUGCAUUUCAAGAAUCUGCAUUUUUAAGAUGAAUUAAGGAUAAUAAAUUUCUGAUGCACCAGAAUCAUUGCUUGGAAGAUUAACUAGAUGCAGUAGAGUGAGUGUGAACCGGAAGAUAGGUUUUAUGAGGUCAGGAUCUAUUUAUCUACAUCCGGAUUGGGUUGUAAAACUUUUAACAAACCUCCUGGGAAAUGUUUAUAAUUUCCAGGAGUAGGGAACUAGAACCUACAAAGAUGGGGAGAUAAACAGAGGUGAAUAAAAGAUAGGGAGAUAAAACAGAGGUGAAUGAAAGGAUUGAAAGAUAACAUUGAGGGCUUAUCAUAAAGACAACCAAUCUAAAUGCAUGCUUUUUGUAAAGAUUAUUUAGAACCAAGGUACUAGUACAUUUCGUUGAGUGUACCUUGAACUAAGAAUUGGCAAAAAGGUUAGACUUAGGGGAAAAAAGAAUCUGAGAUGUCACUGAGUGUACAGUUGAAAUGUUGAUCUAUGUGUUUUAGGCUUCAUAGGGAUAGAAAAGAAAAAUAAGCUUGGGGGAAAAAAAUGGUUGAAAGGCUUUUGGCCCUAAAAAUAACGAGGGUUGAAUUUACUGGGAGACUUGAAAGAGCAAGAGGUUAUGGUUCAAAAUUUCAGACAUCAAGAUUUCUGUAGUAUGGUGGAUUCUGAAUUUAUUUAGAUGUGAAUGCCAUAAAAAAUGACCUAGUUUUUUUGGCCUUAUUUCCUUCAAAUCCAUGAUUACUGCCAAGAUGUACUUUCUAA
rnacentral:lncRNA from 10 species